AGCAUCCGCUUUAAUGGUCGGAAUAUCGAAUACGUUCCAUUCUGAAUAAGUUUGAGUGCAGGUUCAAUAUUCUACACUUUAUUGCUUACUCUUAUACUUUUAUAUUCAGGGGAAAGUGAAUCGCCGGAAGGUCUCGACCGGAGUGCAACUGUCGUUCGCAUACAAGUAGGCACCUUUGAAAUUGUUCUUUUGAAUUCAAAUAAUCAUAUCUCUUUGUACCGUCAUUUAUAUCAAUCUGGCGCUGCUCUGUGGUUUUGCUUAAAAGAAAACUAGCAAUCAGGAAGAACUGGUAUGUUAACCGAUUGCAGAGCAUAUUUCUGGCACACACUACCCCUAGUAAUGCUGUCAUCUAUGAGCGACGCUCACUACUCAUCAUUAGAGGAAACUUAUCAUCGUCUAUCUAUAAAGGAAAUUAAAAAAUAAAAGUUAGUACAUUAUUAUAUUUAAAAAAGUAAACCAUUCCUGUACUAUUUUCUCACAAUCUGAAUUAGUGACAUUGUCAAAUGAAAUUUCUAGAGCAACAAUAGUAGUCGACUUAAGUAAUACCCACAAAAUUAUAGUAGGGCCUUUAAAGUAAUAAGAACCGUCUUUCAAUUAUCGAAGUGUUUGAAUAAACGCAGGCAAGAUCAAGAUCAAGCUUAUCGCAAACGUUUUAAGUAAUAAUUAACUAAUCUCAUUAGAUAAGUCUUGGGGAGGUUUUAGAGAAAACAAAUCGUAAUUUUUCUUUAAAGUAUUUUUGGUGGAAUAUUUUAUUACACAUCAUGGUAACUCGGUACUCGACAAGAAAUUGAUAUUGUACUGCCUGUUCCUAAAGUUUAUAUGAGAUAGUAGGAAUUAAAGAGAAGGUAAAUUAAGGAUCGGUUUCAUUUAAUGAUAUGUAUACUAUUUUUUGGAUUAUACUUGUGUACAAACAAAGAAAAAAUUCAUUAUUAAAAACGUAUUCCUAUUUUUAUCGAUAACACGCUAAAGUAUUUAUUGAUUAUUAAAUAAAAAGAAAA